GGAGAGAUGGCUGAGUGGACGAAAGCGGCGGAUUGCUAAUCCGUUGUACGAGAGGGUUCGAAUCCCUCUCUUUCCG
rnacentral:tRNA from 2 species